AACGAACGCUGGCGGCAUGCCUAACACAUGCAAGUCGAACGAGACCUUCGGGUCUAGUGGCGCACGGGUGCGUAACGCGUGGGAACCUGCCCUUAGGUUCGGAAUAACUCCCCGAAAGGGGUGCUAAUACCGGAUAAUGUCUUCGGACCAAAGAUUUAUCGCCUUUGGAUGGGCCCGCGUUGGAUUAGCUAGUUGGUAGGGUAAAAGCCUACCAAGGCGACGAUCCAUAGCUGGUCUGAGAGGAUGAUCAGCCACACUGGGACUGAGACACGGCCCAGACUCCUACGGGAGGCAGCAGUAGGGAAUAUUGGACCAUGGGCGAAAGCCUGAUCCAGCAAUGCCGCGUGAGUGAUGAAGGCCUUAGGGUUGUAAAGCUCUUUUACCCGGGAUGAUAAUGACAGUACCGGGAGAAUACGCUCCGGCUAACUCCGUG
rnacentral:rRNA from 1 species